GACGAACGCUGGCGGCGUGCUUAACACAUGCAAGUCGAACGGAAAGGCCCUGCUUUUGUGGGGUGCUCGAGUGGCGAACGGGUGAGUAACACGUGAGUAACCUGCCCUUGACUUUGGGAUAACUUCAGGCAACUGGGGCUAAUACCUGAUAGGAGCUCCUGCUGCAUGGUGGUGGUUGGAAAGUUUCGGCGGUGGGGGAUGGACUCGCGGCUUAUCAGCUUGUGGGUGGGGUAGUGGCUUACCAAGGCUUUGACGGGUAGCCGGCCUGAGAGGGUGACCGGCCACAUUGGGACUGAGGUACGGCCCAGACUGCUACGGGAGGCAGCAGUGGGGAAUAUUGCACAAUGGGCGGAAGCCUGAUGCAGCAACGCCGCGUGCGGGAUGACGGCCUUCGUGUUGUAAACCGCUUUCGCCUGUGACGAAGCGUGAGUGACGGUAAUGGGUAAAGAAGCACCGGCUAACUACGUG
rnacentral:rRNA from 1 species